GUAUGGAACUGGAAGGAUCAGGCAUUCACAAGGGCUGGAUCGAGCACACCACGUCCCGUUUGGUCAGCAACUGUUUCCCUGCGUAGCUGAGGCACCCUUUUAAGAGUAACCACCGGGGGCUUGCGACAAUGCGCGGAGGGAUGAAAGCAUGCUCCGUUUUAAGCAUCAGACGUCAGCCAGACAUCUGAACAGAAAGAAUGUCCCUCCACUGGUGUUUGCAGGUCCUUGGAAGAGGGGAUUACUGACACAGUGACCAUUGCCUUAUUUAGAACAGCAGGCUUGCGGGGGGUGGGGGGUGGGGAGAACACUGCCAGCCUCGCGCUGGCCUCGCCUCUAACAACAGGAGGGAAGAGCCGUGAAAAUCCACAUAAUCCCAGGCUGCCACAGGGCUGUGAGUGGAACCAGCUCACUGGGGCCCAGUGGGGCCCUGCGGCCUUGCUGGCACUCUGGUGGCACGGCCAUCACAGCGAGUCAUUGGCAGGAGGCUGCAGCGCUGAGGCAGCAGCUGGAGAAGGUCGGCAGCCCUUGCCUCACCCGCCACACAUCGCUCGGGGGAGUGUCAGUCAAUUCUCCUUGCUCCAGUGACGGGGGGAUCAAGUCAUUCCUUUGCAGCUGUUGCCAGAUGUUGUUAGUGGAGAGCGCUGAGUGCUGUGGCAUCUCACCGACGUUUGGGGCAGCUGGGCCCUCGUGGCUCUGGCUUCAGUAGAUUGGACAGACUAGCAAAUGAAGGCCUCUAGUGGGCAUUUUGGUCAAUGGCUGUGGCUCACUAGAGGUGACAGAUGGCAGCUGGAGAACACCCUCACGUUCAUAUCUGCAUUUACACGUUUCCAUAACUUGUUGGCCCAGUUGUUGAACGGAAGAGGGCAAUGUCAGAUGGGCAGUAUGCAUCCUCAACCAAGGCAAAAUCCACAACUUAAACUUCACUUUCAGUCUGAUAAACUCAUGCCACAAGCUGAGAGGAGCGUACAUUUAUCAUCAUCAUUGGGAAGACUAUCAGGAAAAUUCUUUUGCCUUUUAUUCGUCUACAUUCCCAUUCAGAGUGAUUUUUUUCUACAUAAUUAUUAUAGUGUCCUUAUUGUGAUUUUAGCCUAGAUUUGGAUAGUACAAUAUUGUGUUAAGAAAUACUAGGUUUGAAGAAAAAUUUGUUCCCAUAAAAGAACUAAUUACAACAAAUAGUAGAAUGUUGUGAACGUAUAUAAAACAUCAAGCAAAUCUUCAGAUAGUAAAAAAUAAUAAAGAAAUUACAGAUAG
rnacentral:lncRNA from 1 species